rnacentral:rRNA from 1 species
UACGUAGGGUGCAAGCGUUGUCCGGAAUUAUUGGGCGUAAAGAGCGUGUAGGCGGCCCGGUUAGUCCGCUGUGAAAGUCCAGGGCUCAACCCUGGAAUGCCGGUGGAUACUGUCGGGCUAGAGUCCGGAAGAGGAGAGUGGAAUUCCUGGUGUAGCGGUGAAAUGCGCAGAUAUCAGGAAGAACACCAAUGGCGAAGGCAGCUCUCUGGGACGGUACUGACGCUGAGACGCGAAAAGCGUGGGGAGCGAACAGG